AGUAAAUUGGUUAAGUUAGAAAGGGCGCACGGUGGAUGCCUUGGCACUAGGAGCCGAAGAAGGACGGGACUAACACCGAUAUGCUUUGGGGAGCUGUACGUAAGCGUUGAUCCAGAGAUUUCCGAAUGGGGGAACCCACUAUCUUUAGUCGGAUAGUAUCCUUACGUGAAUACAUAGCGUGAGGAAGGCAGACCCAGGGAACUGAAACAUCUAAGUACCUGGAGGAAGAGAAAGAAAAAUCGAUUUCCUGAGUAGCGGCGAGCGAAACGGAAAGAGCCCAAACCAAGAAGCUUGCUUCUUGGGGUUGUAGGACACUCUAUACGGAGUUACAAAAGAAAGUUAUAAAUGAAGCGGUCUGGAAAGGCCCGCCAAAGACGGUAACAGCCCGGUAGUUGAAAUGGCUUUCCCUCCAGAGUGGAUCCUGAGUACGGCGGAACACGUGAAAUUCCGUCGGAAUCCGGGAGGACCAUCUCCCAAGGCUAAAUACUCCCUAGUGACCGAUAGUGAACCAGUACCGUG
rnacentral:rRNA from 1 species